AAGGUCUAACCUGCCCAAUGAGGAUUUAAAUGGCCGCAGUAUUUUGACUGUGCAAAGGUAGCAUAAUUAUUAGUUUUUUAAUUGAAAGCUUGUAUGAAGGGUUGGACGAGAUAAAAUCUGUCUUUAUUUAAAUUAAAAUAGAAUUUAACUUUUAAGUCAAAAGGCUUAAAUACUAAUAAAAGACGAGAAGACCCUAUAGAUCUUUAUUUAAUUAAUAUUUUAAUAAUUUAGGAUUAUUUUAAUUUAAAAUUUUAAUUAAAUUUUAUUGGGGUAAUAUAAAGAUUAAAAAAAUUCUUUUUAUUUAUUACAUUAAUUUAUGAAUUUAUGAUCCAAUAUUAUUGAUUAAAAGAUUAAGUUACCUUAGGGAUAACAGCGUAAUUUUUUUGGAGAGCCCAUAUCGAUAAAAAAGUUUGCGACCUCGAUGUUGGAUUAAAAAUUAGCUUGGGUGCAGAAGUUCAAGAUUUUGGUCUGUUCGACCAUUAAAUUUUUACAUGAUCUGAGUUCAGACCGGCGUAAGCCAGGUCGGUUUCUAUCUUUAUUAAAAUAAAAUAUUUUAGUUCGAAAGGACCAAAUAUUUAAUAUAUUUAUAUUUAUUUUUUGAAUAAUAUUAUUACUUUGGCAGAAUAGUGCGAUGAAUUUAGAAUUCAUACAUGUAAUUUUUUUACAAGUAAUACUUGUAUUUAGGAGACUUAUUAAUAAUAGUUUUAUGUAUAUUAAUUCUUAUUAUUUGUGUAUUAGUUGGGGUAGCUUUUUUAACUUUACUNGACCGAAAGGUAUUAGGUUAUAUUCAGAUUCGU
rnacentral:rRNA from 1 species